rnacentral:tmRNA from 1 species
GGGGAUGCAAUGGUUUCGACGGGGAUUUUGAAAUCCGGGAUAGCCAUUGGAGGCGGGAGACUCCUUAAAAGCCCAACUUUUAAAUAAUAAAAGACAAAGAUUUAGAAUUAGUAGCAGCCUAAUUGCUGCUCGCUGACCUUAGGUUUUCCGCAGCUUAAGACUCAGCGCCGACUUGCGGAGCACUUUUACUGCAAAGCUUUGAGCAGUAAAAAGAUCUAUGAAGCUACCAAGGACUGCAGCCUGUCUGCCGGCAGCAGUCUGAGGGAAUUACUAUAGACAGACUGUAAUGGGAGAAGUCCUGGACAACGGAUUUUCGGACAGGGGUUCGAUUCCCCUCAUCUCCAUC